rnacentral:lncRNA from 1 species
AGGCAAAGAGCCUUGUGUUUCACUGACUUGAGCUAUUACUGUGCUCCUGCCAGUAUGUUGUUAGGUCUGAUCCAGCAAUAACAUGAGGAGUUAAUUUGAGAGGAUGGGACUCAUUGACAUAAAAAAAAAAUACCAAUUGGCAAACUCAUCAGUCACCAGAUAUUUACUGAGUGUCUUUCAUGUGAAAGAUACUGUGUUAGGAAGCUGU